rnacentral:tmRNA from 1 species
GGGGGUGCACCGGUUUCGACGAUUUAGAUAAUGCUUUUAUUGCAGGUAGGAUUCAUUGUCUGAUCCUUAAUCAGACGAAAAAAAUUAACUGGCGAAUCUAAUUCACAGUUUGCAAUCGCUGCGUAAGCAUUGCACGGUAAUCUUUUAGCACGGCUUUGAGCUUUAAGAAUUACUGUCACCAAACCAAGGCUUGCUUCGCGAUGGGUCUAAACAUCGUGCGGGACUCUUUUUAGAAUACGGAAACGACGCUUUCGGUGCUGCUACCGUUUCCCGACAAUCACCUCGCACUGAUAAACCUGUAGACGUAAUCGUGUUGCUUUUUCGGACGGGGGUUCAAUUCCCCCCAUCUCCAA